GUUUCCGUAGUGUAGUGGUUAUCACGUCCGCCUAACACGCGAAAGGUCCCUGGUUCGAGCCCAGGCGGAAACA
rnacentral:tRNA from 1 species